AUUGAACGCUGGCGGCAGGCCUAACACAUGCAAUUCGAACGAGUGGCGGACUGGUGAGUAAUGUCUGGGAAACUGCCCGAUGGAGGGGGAUAACUACUGGAAACGGUAGCUAAUACCGCAUACCAUCGGAUGUGCCCAGAUGGGAUUAGCUCGUAGGUGGGGUAAUGGCGCACCUAGGCGACGAUCCCUAGCUGGUCUGAGAGGAUGACCAGCAAGACUGGAACUGAGACACGGGCCAGACUCCUAAGGGAGGCAGAAGGGGGGAAUAUUGCACAAUGGGCGCAAGCCUGAUGCAGCCAUGCCGCGUGUAUGAAGAAGGCCUUCGGGUUGUAAAGUACUUUCAGCGAGGAGGCGGUACUCGCAGAAGAAGCACCGGCUAACUCCGUGCCAGCAGCCGCGGUAAUUC
rnacentral:rRNA from 1 species